UACGUAGGGGGCGAGCGUUGUCCGGAUUCAUUGGGCGUAAAGCGCGCGUAGGCGGCUUCGCAAGUCGGCCGUGAAAUCUCCGGGCUCAACUCGGAGGGGUCGGGCGAGACUGCGAGGCUCGAGGUGGGCAGAGGGCAGUGGAAUUCCAGGUGUAGCGGUGAAAUGCGUAGAUAUCUGGAGGAAUACCGGUGGCGAAGGCGGCAUCCUGGACCGGCAUUGACGCUGAGGAGCGAAAGCUAGGGGAGCAAACGGG
rnacentral:rRNA from 1 species